ACAAUAUAGACAGUGUCUACAUGACAGUUAGGACAGAGUGGGGGUUGGAGGACUGGACACUGCAGGAGCAUUUGAAAAUAUUCUGUCUGGAAUAACAGUGUACAUGCAACCUGGUUAUGUGGGUGGGGGUCUAAACAGUGACAGGGUGACAGGUGACAGGUUACAGGGUGACAGGGCACAGGUUGAUAGGGUGACAGGUUACAGGGUGACAGGUGACAGGGUUACAGGUGACAGGUUGAUAGGGUUACAGGUGACAGGUUGAUAGGGUUACAGGUGACAGGGUGAUAGGGUUACAGGUGACAGGUUGAUAGGGUUACAGGUGACAGGUUGAUAGGGUGACAGGGUGACAGUUGAUAGGGUUACAGGUGACAGGGUGACAGGGUUACAGGUGACAGGGUGACAGGUGACAGACAGGGUUACAGGUUACAGGUAACAGGUUGACAGGGUUACAGGUGACAGAGUGACAGGGUGACAGUUGAUAGGGUUACAGGUGACAGGGUGACAGGGU